rnacentral:misc_RNA from 1 species
CAACAGAAGAAGAUUGUACAGUUGAGAUGCUCUCUUGCAAGUUUGAAGGUUCAGAGAUCAUGGAGCGCCAAAAUGACCAUUUUUCAGCUUUCAUGGUGAAUCGUGUGACAUGGAACACAACUGAUUCUGAACCCUUUUUAGAGGCUGACAUGAAGUUGAAUCUCACCCUUGAGAUUUAUACAGAACCAUUUACUUUACUGCCAACAUAUGCUGUUGAGGGUCCUGGG